rnacentral:lncRNA from 1 species
AUUAGUGGGGACAUAGCAGAAUAUCCAGUACACAAUAACAAAACCAUCAUUGAUCCCUGGAAGUACCUGGAUCGACUGCACAUGUUAAAGAUUCUCAUAAGACAGUCAAACAAAUACUUUGCUUGGUAUGGAGAAAACAAUAGAGGCAAUGUGCUGUGGAUACACCCCAUAUUUUAUGGAAAGUUAUAUAAGACGGAUCGAUUUUCAGAACCCCUCAAUAGUUCAGUCUGUGCUUAUGAGGCUGGUGCCCCUGGCUGCAUAUCCAUCAACAGUGGCUGGGGAGGCAUUAAUUUCUAUGUGACUGUUAUACCUUUCCUUGCUGCAGUUGAAUCUGGGUUUUUGAAGAACUUACCACAUGAGGUAGAAUUUGUAUCUUGAGAGGAACACAGGUCUAACUUCUGUUAUUCAAUUGCGGAAUGCUGUGCCUCAAACCCACAAAUUAUGGAUGCAGCCAACGUGUUUUAUCAGUAUUUGGAGUCCAGGAAGAAAGUUUUAACUAUUGGAGAUAUUCCUAAGUACGACACAGAUGAGGACACAGCCAUCUUUUACGUGUGGAGGAUGCAUCGAGCAUCUUUUGAUGCCGCAACACCCAAGUUCAGUGACAUAUUAUUUUAUUCUUCUGAAACUGAAAGAGACUUCACCAUAGACUUUGCACUUGCCGUAGAAUUAUGUGAGGAUGCAAGAUAUGGCCCAGACUUUGAAGGUUCCGUAGAUUUUGCAGUGGGUUUCCCACAUAGGCAACUCACAGAUCAAGAUCAACACAUUCUUACAAGCGACUUCAGCAUACGGGAAAAGGCACAUUUGAGAACAGUAAGACUCGUUGCAAAAACAAACGAAAUCACAGGAGUUGCAUUUUUAACAAGUUGGAAGACGGUCGUGAAAUCAGGAAUUGGACGGGCUGGGGGACGACUCCUCAUUAAGAGGCUACUCUUAAUACCAAGACUUUAGUAGCUUAAAUUAUGCUGGUAUCGAUUUAAGAAUCCGUAAUAACAAACUGAUGCUGUAGUUGAUCAAUUUAAUUCCAUGAUUAAAAGCAAUUAAAUGUUAUAAUUACUAUUUUGUGAAAAUUUCUCUGGUUCUAUUAUUCCUUUCGCAUCUUUGUAUUUUCCCACGAAAUUUGAAGUUACCAGCCAAUAAUCACCCCUUGGUGCCCCUGGAAUCUAGCUGCAUUUCUGGUGGAAGCCUAAUUAAUCCUUUAGAUUGCCUGAGUUACACAUGAAUAUGCAAAUAUCUAUGUCGAAGGCGGGUUAUACUACUUAAUGUUUGGGUACUUUCUUCAAUGCUUACUCCUCGAUUGCCAGGUAAGCAAGGCAAAUUCUUCUCUAACAGAUUAUUCUUACGAGAUACAAGUUUUGGCACCUGGAAUAGAGAUUUUACAGUACUUUGUAUUCUAGGACUGAGCUCAAAAUACCUUGUGAUAUGAGCACCAUUGUCAAUCCGCAUAGUGAAAGAGGCCGUUUCCUUAGUGUCUGAGCUCUUGGAGAAGUAAUUUUCACUAUCUAGUUGGAAACUUCUGAGCUCCUCCAAUGUAAAUCACUCAAACUUAUACUUUUCCUUUUUUAUAUAAUUUUUGCUACAGCUGAAGCCCCAUUGUGGAAAAAGCACAUAUUAAAAACAUGAGUUAAAUUUAUCUAAAAUGGCCCGUCAUUAACUCUUUUCUGAUGGUAUUAAUGAAAACAAUUACAUUAGGUUAAGUAUCUUCUGAUGUUUCCAGGCACCAGUUGUACCUUUUCCCUAUAAUGUGUCAUUCAUUUAUUUCCCACAGAUCUCAGUAUUCUUUAGCUACCUCUCAACCCAAAUUGUCUCUUAUGAACAGAGGUGACGUUUUUUAUAUUAUCACUGUUGCUUAGGAGAUGGCUUGAGUAAGCAAGAGCCACUGUUCAAAAGUCUAAUAACAGGUUGAUCAAUGUCUGCAUGCAAGUGAGACUUUUCCACAUAAAGAAAUAAAACUAAUAAGUGGAGGCA